AAAAAAGAGAAAUGCCAAGAAUUACAUUUCUGACAGCUUCCCUGUGCUGCUGCUGCUGCUGCUGCCGUCUAACAUUAAAGUUCCAUGGCACAUGACUGCUCUCUUUCCUUUCCCGUUUUGGAUUACAUAUAUAAAUGGAGGAGUUUCUGCCUAUACAAACUGUUUAAUAUUGAAAAUGUUUUUCUCCCUCCAGACUAUGAAGAAAUCGGGAGUGCACUUUUUGACUGCAGAUUGUUCGAAGACACAUUAGUAAAUUUUCAAGCAGCAAUAGAGAAAAAAAUUCAUGCUUCUCAACAAAGGUGGCAGCAGUUGAAGGAAGAGAUUGAGCUACUUCAGGACUUAAAACAAACCUUGUGCUCUUUUCAAGAAAAUAGAGAUCUUAUGUCAAGUUCUACAUCAAUAUCAUCCCUGUCUUAUUAGGGAUUACCAUUUCCUAAGCCAAGAGUCAUGUCAAAUUGCAGUCAGGCUCAAAACCAGAGACCAGGCUGUGAAAUCCACACAUCUUUAGAACUAGUUGUCUCCUCUUGGCCUCGGCAGCUCUUCCUUGUUCUUACUGGUUGACAUUUUGAUCACUCUUUGCACACUCUUACUUGUGUUUUUUGCUCAUUGUCACACUCCCAGCACCUAGUAUGCUCAGUAAAUGUUUGUGGAAUAAGUGCAUAAAAUGUUCUUAACCUUUGAUUCUACUUACAGCCCAUGAUACCUCUUAGAUAUAAUAAAUUUGGAUUAUACUA
rnacentral:sRNA from 1 species